rnacentral:rRNA from 1 species
UACGUAGGGUGCAAGCGUUGUCCGGAAUUAUUGGGCGUAAAGGGCUCGUAGGCGGUCUGUCGCGUCGGGAGUGAAAACUCAGGGCUUAACCCUGAGCCUGCUUCCGAUACGGGCAGACUAGAGGUAUGCAGGGGAGAACGGAAUUCCUGGUGUAGCGGUGAAAUGCGCAGAUAUCAGGAGGAACACCGGUGGCGAAGGCGGGUUGCUGGGCUGAUACUGACGCUGAGGCGCGAAAGCCAGGGGAGCGAAUGGG